rnacentral:tRNA from 1 species
AGUAAUAUGUCUGAUUUAGGUAAUAAAUUGUAAAUUUAUUUAAGAAAAUAAAAUUUUCUAUUACUA